GGUUAAGCGACCAAGCGUACACGGUGGAUGCCCUGGCAGUCAGAGGCGAUGAAGGACGUGCUAAUCUGCGAAAAGCGCCGGUAAGGUGAUAUGAACCGUUAUAACCGGCGAUGUCCGAAUGGGGAAACCCAGUGUGACUCGUCACACUAUCAUUAACUGAAUCCAUAGGUUAAUGAGGCGAACCGGGGGAACUGAAACAUCUAAGUACCCCGAGGAAAAGAAAUCAACCGAGAUUCCCCCAGUAGCGGCGAGCGAACGGGGAGGAGCCCAGAGCCUGAAUCAGCAUGUGUGUUAGUGGAAGCGUCUGGAAAGGCGCGCGAUACAGGGUGAGAGCCCCGUACACAAAAGCGCAUAUGCUGUGAGCUCGAUGAGUAGGGCGGGACACGUGGUAUCCUGUCUGAAUAUGGGGGGACCAUCCUCCAAGGCUAAAUACUCCUGACUGACCGAUAGUGAACCAGUACCGUGAGGGAAAGGCGAAAAGAACCCCGGCGAGGGGAGUGAAACAGAACCUGAAACCGUGUACGUACAAGCAGUGGGAGCCCCACCACUAAGCCAGUGGUGAACUCCACAUACGCAUCCUUUGCGGAAGAUGCGGUUAACGGCGCGCAAGCGACGUUCAACCUCAGAAGAAUCAGAGGGGGCUUAGUGGUGGGGUGACUGCGUACCUUUUGUAUAAUGGGUCAGCGACUUAUAUUCUGUAGCAAGGUUAACCGCAUAGGGGAGCCGAAGGGAAACCGAGUCUUAACCGGGCGUUAAGUUGCAGGGUAUAGACCCGAAACCCGGUGAUCUAGCCAUGGGCAGGUUGAAGGUUGGGUAACACUAACUGGAGGACCGAACCGACUAAUGUUGAAAAAUUAGCGGAUGACCUGUGGCUGGGGGUGAAAGGCCAAUCAAACCGGGAGAUAGCUGGUUCUCCCCGAAAGCUAUUUAGGUAGCGCCUCGUGAACUCAUCUCCGGGGGUAGAGCACUGUUUCGGCUAGGGGGCCAUCCCGGCUUACCAACCCGAUGCAAACUGCGAAUACCGGAGAAUGUUAUCACGGGAGACACACGGCGGGUGCUAACGUCCGUCGUGAAGAGGGAAACAACCCAGACCGCCAGCUAAGGUCCCAAAGUCAUGGUUAAGUGGGAAACGAUGUGGGAAGGCCCAGACAGCCAGGAUGUUGGCUUAGAAGCAGCCAUCAUUUAAAGAAAGCGUAAUAGCUCACUGGUCGAGUCGGCCUGCGCGGAAGAUGUAACGGGGCUAAACCAUGCACCGAAGCUGCGGCAGCGACACUUUAGUGUUGUUGGGUAGGGGAGCGUUCUGUAAGCCGUUGAAGGUGUGUCGUGAGGCAUGCUGGAGGUAUCAGAAGUGCGAAUGCUGACAUAAGUAACGAUAAAGCGGGUGAAAAGCCCGCUCGCCGGAAGACCAAGGGUUCCUGUCCAACGUUAAUCGGGGCAGG
rnacentral:rRNA from 1 species